GGUCAAAAUGCAGAUCUUCGUGAAGACCCUGACCGGCAAGACCAUCACCCUGGAGGUGGAGCCUAGUGACACCAUCAAAAAUGCGAAGGCCAAGAUCCAGGAUAAGGAAGGCAGCCCCCCGACCAGCAGAGGCUCAUCUUUGCAGGCAAGCAGCUGGAAGAUGGCCGCACUCUGACUACAAUAUCCAGAAAGAGUCAACCUUGCACCUGGUCCUGUGUCUGAGAGGUGGUAUGCAGAUCUUCGUGAAGACCCUUACCGGCAAGACCAUCACCCUGGAGGUGGAGACCAGUGACACCAUCGAAAACGUGAAGGCCAAGAUCCAGGAUAAGGAAGACAUCCCCCACCCCGACUAGCGGAGGCUCAUCUUUGCAGGCAAGCAGCUGGAAGAUGGCCAGACUCUUUCUGAUUACAGCAUCCAGAAAGAGUCGGCCUUGCACCUGGUCCUGUGUCUGAGGGGUGGCUGUUAAUUCUUCAGUCUUGCAUUCGCAGUGCCCAGUGAUGGCAAUACUCUGCACUACAGCCAUUUGCCCCAACUUAAGUUUAGACAUUACAAGUUUCAGUUAUAGCUGAACCUGUUCAAAAUGUUAAUAAAGGUUUUGCUGCAUGGUAAAAAAAAAAAAAAAAAAAA